AUGCCAUCUUCUGGUCCACAUCCUCCAUUGUUACAUGGCAAGUGGCUAAGCCAAACCAGCAGGGCCGGCUGGAGGUCCUGCUCUCAACAGGAUGCUCCUGCUGCUGAGGAAGGUCUGGCUUUUUGUCCCCACUACAGAUCCAGGCAAAAUAGCUGCAACAGCUGGAGCCGAAUCCAGCAAGUGGGGAUGUGGUGUCUGCAGAGGGGUUAUUCCUGUUCCGUGUAUCUUGCGCUGCCUGCCUCUUCUGCAUGCUCCUGCACGCUUCCCGGUGGGACUGGAAGAGGGUCCUCAGGUGCCUCUCCAUUGAGUCUAUGUUAGCCUCCAUGUGGCAGAGCAGGUCAGAAACACUGACGUCCGCAUUUCCCUGGUGCUCUGUUCUUCUGGAGGCUGAGGCUGUUGGUCCCGUUUCCUAAAAGUGACGGAGCACAGUGAAAGGGAUGCAGACUCAUUUUGCAGAGCAUUCCCCUGCAGGGCUCCGAUUCCUGUGCAGCUUUUCCUGCCUCGCAGGACUGCCCGAAGCAUGGGGCU
rnacentral:lncRNA from 1 species